rnacentral:lncRNA from 1 species
GGCUCCACCUGGAAAGGCUCCACCUUCCCCCGGUAGUGUCACCCAUGGGGACGGAGCUUUCAAAGCGUGGGCCUUUGGUGGUUACUCUAGACACAGGCAAUAGCUGUCCUGAAGCGAGACGGAGAGGUCCACAUCGUCUGAAAUGCACUUCUCUCGCUGCGUGUGGGGCUGCAGGAGAUGCAGGGAGCAGGCGACGACGUCCUCACCCUUCACGGCCCGAGCCCGUCUCUCCCUGCUCCAGGACAUCGAGGCAGCCAGACACUGAAAUCAAAGACCCUCAGGAAAGAGGACUUCAGAGCUGCUGCAGAGAGCGGCAAGAACCAUGGGCCGAGUGUGUUGGGAGUGGCAGGGAGGUUGGAAGAGAGGGAGAUCAGAUUUAGAGAGCGAUUCAUGGCACUGUCUUUUGCAGUAAUAAAAAUUUUAAGUUAAACACCCA